CGAAGUGGCGAAAUCGGUAGACGCAGUUGAUUCAAAAUCAACCGUAGAAAUACGUGCCGGUUCGAGUCCGGCCUUGUCUCAG
rnacentral:tRNA from 1 species